rnacentral:lncRNA from 1 species
AUGAAGUUGUUCCUUCGGCGCGGGAGCUCCUCACUCGUGACAAAGAAGGGAAGCCACUUCUCCCCGAGAGUUGCAGGCACCUCUUUUCUGCCUACUACCACCUUUGGACGAACGACCAAGGGGUAUGGAUAAAGGACUGGAUUCGCUUCUGGUUCAAAGGAGAGACUAGGUAUAGGACUCCUCCGAGUAGAGCGAAUAGAAGGAAGACCACAUCUAAACCAAAAAUGACUUACAACCCUUCUGGAAGCGUGGAGCCUUACGACCUUGCUGAUACGAAGGACUUCAACGUCC